rnacentral:rRNA from 1 species
GAUGAACGCUGGCGGCGCGCCUAACACAUGCAAGUCGAACGGCACCUGCCUUCGGGCAGAAGCGAGUGGCGAACGGCUGAGUAACACGUGGAGAACCUGCCCCCUCCCCCGGGAUAGCCGCCCGAAAGGACGGGUAAUACCGGAUACCCCGGGGUGCCGCAUGGCAUCCCGGCUAAAGCCCCGACGGGAGGGGAUGGCUCCGCGGCCCAUCAGGUAGACGGCGGGGUGACGGCCCACCGUGCCGACAACGGGUAGCCGGGUUGAGAGACCGACCGGCCAGAUUGGGACUGAGACACGGCCCAGACUCCUACGGGAGGCAGCAGUGGGGAAUCUUGCGCAAUGGGGGGAACCCUGACGCAGCGACGCCGCGUGCGGGACGGAGGCCUUCGGGUCGUAAACCGCUUUCAGCAGGGAAGAGUCAAGACUGUACCUGCAGAAGAA